AUUUUACUUGCAUGUAUAUUUAAAAAUAUAUAUAUUUUUAUCAACAUGUUUUGUCCAUCAUGUUUAGAAAAAUUCUCAUAGUGUUUUCCGUGGUUGUUCUCUUUUUCCCACGCAUCGCGUAAAACAACAACAAACCAGAUUUUUUUUGCAGCUGCAGGUCUGGUGCUGUGCUUAUUUAAUUCGUCUUCGUUAAGUGAAAAUUCUAAUAAAUUGUCUCGAAAGUGAGAACUGCAAGGAAGACAUAUUAUUUGGCUUAUUCGGUUAUUUGAGGUUCUUAGAAAUAUCCCUGAAACGCCGCCAGUAUCCAAAGAUGCUCCCAUGCCCGCUCCCAUUUACUGCAUUGAUCAUCAGGCAAGGACGACGCUAUAAUACAGAACGCCGAAAAAACGACCGGGCUCGCGACCGAGCGGGACAUGGAAUCAUGGAAUCGGAAGAUAAUAUGUAGUUCCGGUACACAUUUGUGUCCGACGAAAACAUCAUUGUAUAAAGAACUACUCUGCGAACCCCGACGAAUGCAUGGAUUUUUCCAGCCGCUUUGGCGAAUGAGAGCUUGCACUAUUUAAUAAAGAAAUAAUUAAAAUAAUACAAUUCAUAAACUUCA